rnacentral:sRNA from 1 species
CUAUAUAAGUAUUAUACUACUAUUUUCAGAAAUGUAGCAUUUUAACUGUGUUUCUGAAAUUGGCUAGAAUGAGAGAUAAUGUGUUUGGUUUAAAACAUGGUCAACCAACUGUGCAUGAGAGUUUUGGAUGAGUUUUUUGGUUUGUUUCUUUUGACUUUUGAAACAAUGUAAAAACCUUUCAAAUUAAAUUCUGUACGUAGAAGUUAGGCAUGUCAGACUGUGAAGCAGCUCUAAAGCAACAAGGAUGACAAAAACGACUCCACAUUUGUGAUUCUGAUGUCUACAUAGUAACUUGCUUUAUAUGGACCACAAUAACUCGUUGCAAUGGAAUACUAGAGAGCAAAUUCAAGAUAGAAAAUAUUUAGUGAUGUGAAUACCAUAAUGAGGAAGAAGCCAACAUUGUGUAACUGUUAGCAAUUGCUAGAAUGGGUCGACUGAAAGAAUUUCAAAAUCUCAUCUGGAAAAAUAACAAUCAAGAUGCUUUAAGCACCAGCAUUUCUCAAAUUUCAUUAAGUGAAGAGAAAGGUAAACAAACAGUUCAUUUAUCAUUCAGUCAAAUUUAUUAAGAACUACCUGCAGAGACUCCCUCAGCCAUUUAAGAAACCCUACUGGUGGCUGGGUGCUGUGGCUCACGCCUAUAAUCCUAACACUUUGGGAAGCCAAGGCGGGUGGAUCACAAGGUCAGGCGCUGGAGACCAGUUUGGCCAACAUGAUGAAACUGUGUCUCUACUGAAAAUACAAAAAUUAGCUGGACAUGGUGGCAUACACCUGUAAUCCCAGCUACUCAAGAGGCUGAGGGAGGAGAAUUGUUUGAACUUGGGAGGCAGAGGUUGCAGUGAGUCGAGAUCGUGCCACUGCACUCCAGCCUGGGUGACAGAGCAAGACUCCGUCUUAAAAAAAAAAUCUCACUGGUAUCACUUCUAGGCUCCCUUUGAGAGCGACCGACUCCUGGCUGUGUCCCACUGAGACAGUGUGAAAGGUGACUGAGAACAUGAUUUCAUUUUCAGGCCUGGAACGAAUGCUUAAAACGUACUCCAGCACCUCCUCCUUCUCUGAUGCAAAGAGCCAGAAAGACACAGCAGCGCUAAUGGAUGAGAACAAUUUGAAACUAGACCUUUUGGAAGCGAACUCCUACAAACUGUCAUCAAUGUUAGCAGAACUUGAGCAAAGACCUCAACCCAGCCAUCCUUGUAGUAACUCCAUCUUCAGGUGGAGAGAAAAGGAGCAUACUCAUAGCUAUGUGAAAAUAUCUCGGCCUUUUUUAAUGAAGAGAUUAGAGAAUAUUGUGAGCAAGGCAUCUUCUGGUGGGCAGAGCAAUCCAGGUUCUUCAACUCCAGCCCCUGGUGCAGCCCAGCUCAGCAGCAGACUUUGCAAGGCCUUAUAUUCUUUUCAAGCCAGGCAAGAUGAUGAGUUGAAUUUGGAAAAGGGUGACAUUGUGAUUAUACACGAGAAAAAAGAAGAAGGAUGGUGGUUUGGAUCUUUGAAUGGGAAAAAAGGCCAUUUUCCUGCCGCUUAUGUGGAGGAGUUACCUUCAAAUGCUGGCAACACAGCUACAAAGGCAUAAAACAAGACUCUGAAGAUACUACCUUCACACUCGGUAACGAACAAUACAAUACAGUGUGGUUCAAAUAAGAAUAAAGUGCUCUUACCUUU